rnacentral:rRNA from 1 species
UGGGGAAUUUUGGACAAUGGGGGCAACCCUGAUCCAGCAAUGCCGCGUGAGUGAAGAAGGCCUUCGGGUUGUAAAGCUCUUUUGUCAGGGAAGAAACGGUAGUAGCGAAUAACUAUUACUAAUGACGGUACCUGAAGAAUAAGCACCGGCUAACUACGUGCCAGCAGCCGCGGUAAUACGUAGGGUGCAAGCGUUAAUCGGAAUUACUGGGCGUAAAGCGUGCGCAGGCGGUUGUGUAAGUCAGAUGUGAAAUCCCCGGGCUCAACCUGGGAAUUGCAUUUGAGACUGCACGGCUAGAGUGUGUCAGAGGGGGGUAGAAUUCCACGUGUAGCAGUGAAAUGCGUAGAUAUGUGGAGGAAUACCGAUGGCGAAGGCAGCUCCCUGGGAUAACACUGACGCUCAUGCACGAAAGCGUGGGGAGCAAACAGGAUUAGAUACCCCUGUAGUCCCUGAGCGGGCUGGCAAGGCGCAU